GAUGAACGCUGGCGGCGUGCCUAAUACAUGCAAGUCGAGCGAAGCGGGGGCGGGUGAGUAACACGUGGAUAACCUCCUAUAAGACUGGGGUAAAUUCGGGAAACCGGAGCUAAAACGGAUCAUUAUCGAUGGCUCCGCGCUGCAUUAGCUAGUUGGUAAGGUAACGGCUUACCAAGUCAACGAUGCAUAGCCGACCUGGGAGGGUGAUCGGCCACACUGGAACUGAGACACGGUCCAGACGCCUACGGGAGGCAGCAGUAGGGAAUCUUCCGCAAUGGGCGAAAGCCUGACGGAGCAAUGCCGCGUGAGUGAUGAAGGUCUUCGGAUCGUAAAACUCUGUUAGUAGGGAAGCGGUACCUAAUCAGAAAGCCACGGCUAACUCCGUGCCAGCAGCCGCGGUAAUAC
rnacentral:rRNA from 1 species